rnacentral:pre_miRNA from 1 species
AAACCAUUCUUUCCGUUCAGAAUUACUUGUCGCAGAAAUGGAUGUAUCUAGAUGUAUUUUAGUUCUAGAUACAUCCAUUUUCGAGACAAGUAAUUCCAAACGGAGGGAGUACACC